rnacentral:rRNA from 1 species
UACGUAGGGUGCGAGCGUUAAUCGGAAUUACUGGGCGUAAAGCGUGCGCAGGCGGUUUUGUAAGUCUGUCGUGAAAGCCCCGGGCUCAACCUGGGAAUGGCGAUGGAGACUGCAAGGCUUGAAUCUGGCAGAGGGGGGUAGAAUUCCACGUGUAGCAGUGAAAUGCGUAGAGAUGUGGAGGAACACCGAUGGCGAAGGCAGCCCCCUGGGAUAACACUGACGCUCAUGCACGAAAGCGUGGGGAGC